AAAUACCCUUUUUCAAAAUUUUGGUUGUAGUUAUCUGUGGAAACUGAAGUCUGUACAGAGUUCAUCUCGGUUUCCUCCGAUGGACUCCAUCUUCUCCGCCACGACGAGCAACAUAGCCAUUUGCUGCGUUUCGAAAGCCUUGAAUCGGAGGCUUUCCGAAAUUGUUCGUAGAAGAUGCGUUCAUGGCGUUGACCGAGCUCGCCGUUUCAGCUGCAUUUCCAGUUAUCUUGGCCUCUACGGAACUACUGGACUUUUCGGUUCUUCUUCACCGUCGCUCAGGACUCUUCAGGUUGUUCUGCCUUCGCUGCGGUGUCGUUUGCGGUGUGUUUCGAGCUCCUCUGUAUCUUUUGCAUCUGGUGGCGGAAAUGGUGGUCUUGGAGGGAAGAAUGGCGGCGGAGGUCGUGGUGGAGAUGGUGGACUGGGCGGUGGAAAGGGCAAUAAGUUUGUUUCUGGUAGCGCUGAGGAGGGUUCUUCACUGUUGCCUAACGUUAUCAUACUCGACGUUGGAGGAAUGACAUGCGGGGGAUGCGCAGCAAGUGUGAAGAGAAUACUAGAGAAUCAGCCACGAGUGUCAUCUGCUAGUGUGAACCUCACAACAGAGACUGCAGUCAUAUGGCCAGUACCGGAGGUGAAAGAUUCACCUCAUAGGGUGAAGCAGUUGGGAGAGACGCUUGCUAAUCAUCUAACUCAAUGUGGUUUUGCAUCUAGUCUUCGAGAGUCGGGAAGAGACAACAUCUUCAUGGUUUUUGAAAGGAAGAUGGAAGAAAAGCACAAUCGUUUAAAAGAGAGUGGUCGCAAUCUUGUUUUUUCCUGGGCUCUGUGUGCUGUGUGUCUUCUUGGUCAUCUUUCUCAUUUCUUUGGUGCUAAGGCCUCAUGGAUCCAUACAUUUCAUACUACUCAAUUCCAUCUAUCACUGUGCUUAUUUACAUUACUUGGUCCUGGUCGUCAACUUAUUAUUGAUGGUAUGAAAAGUCUUGUCAAAGGAGCUCCAAAUAUGAACACUUUAGUUGGUCUUGGAGCUCUAUCAUCCUUUACUGUCAGCUCAUUGGCCACCUUAAUGCCAAAACUUGGUUGGAAGGCUUUCUUUGAGGAACCAGUUAUGUUAAUAGCAUUUGUAUUGUUAGGAAGGAACCUUGAACAGAGAGCUAAAAUUAGAGCUGCAAGUGAUAUGACAGGACUUCUUAGUAUUUUGCCCUCAAAGGCUCGUCUAGUUGUUGAUGGUGAUACAGAAUUGGAUUCAACAGUUGAAAUUCCUUGUUCUAGUCUUUCAAUUGGAGAUGAAGUUAUUGUACUUCCUGGGGACCGUAUUCCUGCUGAUGGAAUUGUGAAAUCUGGUAGAAGCAUUGUGGAUGAGUCUAGUUUCACUGGGGAGCCAUUACCUGUUACCAAGCUGCCUGGGAGCCAAGUUGCAGCAGGAACUAUAAAUCUUAAUGGAACUCUUACAGUUGAGGUGCAUCGACCAGGAGGUGAGACUGCUAUGGGAGAUAUUAUUCGUUUGGUUGAAGAGGCUCAAAGCCGGGAAGCUCCUGUUCAACGGUUGGCUGACAAGGUGUCUGGGCACUUCACUUAUGGAGUAAUGGCACUCUCCGCAGCAACUUUUAUCUUUUGGAGUCAAUUUGGGUCACGCAUUCUGCCAGCAGCUCUUUAUCACGGAAGUUCAGUUUCAUUGGCUCUGCAGCUUUCUUGCAGUGUUCUGGUUGUUGCUUGUCCAUGUGCACUUGGCUUAGCUACGCCAACUGCAAUGCUGGUUGGAACUUCAUUAGGGGCAACUAAAGGAUUACUUCUGCGUGGUGGAAAUAUCUUAGAGCAGUUCUCAAUGGUGGAUACUGUUGUCUUUGACAAAACAGGGACCUUGACAGUUGGGAAACCUGUUGUGACAAAGGUGUUUGCAACUUCAAGAUAUGAGAGAAAUGUAGAUUCACAGAUAAACUCACAUGGCAAUUAUUCAGAAAAUGAGAUUCUUAAGUUUGCUGCUGCGGUGGAAUCUAACACAGUUCAUCCAGUUGGGAAGGCAAUUGUGGAAGCAGCUCGAGCCGUUAAUGGUCAAAGCUUGAAGGUGGUUGAAGGAACAUUUGUUGAAGAACCUGGUUCUGGUGCUGUUGCAACAGUAGAAAACAGAAUAAUAUCUGUCGGAACUCUGGACUGGGUUCAGAGGCAUGGAGUUGUCGACCAUUUUCAAGAGACGGAUGAUCUCAAACCCCAAUCAGUCGUUUAUGUAGGAAUAGACAGUAUUCUAGCUGGUUGUAUUUAUUAUGAGGAUGGCAUCCGGGAGGAUGCUGGUCAUGUUGUUGACACUUUGUCUAGGCAAGGAAUUAACACAUACAUGUUGUCCGGGGACAAAAGGAGUAAUGCUGAGUACAUUGCAUCUCUUGUUGGACUUCCAAAAGAGAAGGUACGUUCUGGAGUCAAACCCCAUGAAAAGAAGAAGUUUAUUAGUGAACUUCAGGAGAAGAAGAGCAUUGUAGCCAUGGUUGGUGAUGGAAUCAACGAUGCUGCUGCCUUGGCCACUGCAGAUAUUGGAAUUGCGAUGGGCGGGGGUGUCGGAGCCGCCAGUGAGGUGUCUCCUAUUGUGUUAAUGGGCAACAGACUCUCUCAGGAAACUUUAUUUUAAUUAGAACAUUAGAGAAGUUCGUUCUUUUUCUUGAUAGAGAAUAAAUAAUUAUCACAAAAAAAUACAAUGAAGUCCACACUCAAGCUGGGGAGAUUGCAGAAAUGGAACAGUAAGAGAAGCCCAAGCACGAAUAUAUUAGAUAAGUACUUACAAUAUUUUAAUUUCGAUUUUGAUCCCUUUAGAAUAAAAUUUGUCUAUACAUAGGUUUCAACAAAGGGCUUUCAUGUCUAUCUUUUAUGUUCUUGUGCUUACAUUGAGAUUUGGUUUCUUUUUGUUUUGAGCAAUAGCCUCUUUUCAUUAUAUCAAUGAAAAGUUUAGUUUCCAUUUAAAAAUAAAAAAAUAAAAAAACAAAAGGGCUUUCAUGUCAUUCCAUAUAGAGUUUUUUUGGCUAUGUCACUCAGCAGUAAGCCGUGAACCAUCAAGUGCUUGAUACAUGAAUUGAGAAGACUUAACACCAUUGAACUUGUCAUAGUUUACCAGCUUAAACUUUUAGAUUUAGCGGCAACUUAAUAAAAUGAUUAUUUUAUCUCUAAGAGUACGCUGACAAACAUUUCACAAGUAAUAGUAGCAUUAGCAGCAGCUUUUAGAAAACUGUCAAUGAUUUAAGGGUGACAAAUGCUGUCUCUUCAUUGCAUUAGAUGGAUUGGUAAGUCCUCUUGCCAUGUGGAGAGGAGUAACUUUUACAUUGCCGCUCAACUACUUAUAUAAUCUAUAUGCAAGUAAACCUGCCAUCUAAAACAAAUAAGUCAGAUCCGAGUCAUCUCCCUAGUCAGGUGUACUGCCCAAAUCAAUUCAAGUAAUGUAAUUCAAUUUUCACUCAAGUUAUUGUUGGAUUUUGACAAAAUAUUAGAAGAAUAGUUGUUCCACAUCUAAAAUGUUCAAGAAAAUGAUGGGCUCCAAGUAUUAUAAAAUGAUUCUAUGCCUUUAGUUUCUAAUCAUCUAAUUUUGAAGCACUUUAAAUCCGGUAUACUAACUCAAUUGUGUGAGUGAUAUAAUGCUUUGAGUUAGUGCUCUUGAAAUUAGGAUCAGGGAGAGAUUUUGUGUGAUUGUAAUAAUUUUUCACAUUGUGGAAUUAUUUUUGGCCCGUGGUUUUUUCCAUGUAAAUUAUUUUAAUUUCUUUGUUAUUUUUUCUGCUUAUUCUUGCGGUAGUUGUGAGAGGUUUUUCCGAACAAGUGGUAUCAGAGCUUUAGAUUUGUAGUUUCUUGAAUUUUUUAUUAUGCUAUGUGGUUGCAAGUGUCUAAACUUCCACAUUAGAUAGGAAUCCUUAAAAUGCGCUACGAUAGUAUGAAUAGUGUGUAUUGUUCACUAUUGCUAGGAAUGAAGUCGAUAUGUCAAGCUUUAUGAGUCGGUAAAGUUUGAUGUGGAGAAAUUUGAUGGAAGGAUGAACUUCAAUUGUGCCAAGUGCAAGUUAAGGACAUGAUGAUACAAAUUGGGUUACACAAGGCCCUAAAGGGAAGACCAAGCAGUGUUACUUCUAAAGAGUUUAGUGAUGCCGGUGAUGGUGGCCUAGGAGAGUUCGAUGGCAGUUCCAGUAAAGGUUGCAUGAGAAUGAAAAUUGGGAAGAAAUGGAUUUGAGAACUGCAAGUGCAAUCAGGCUAAGAAUAUUCUUGCGAAUGUGCAUAGAAUUUUGACAGCCAAAGAGCUACGGGUGAAGUUUGAAGCAAUGUAUCAGGCAAAGAGCAUCUUAAAUCGGUUGUACUUGAAGGAGCAAUUUCAUUGCUGCGGAUGGUGGUAAGUAUGAAAUACUCAGAUCAUCCAUGUAUUCUCGAUGACAUUGUUUUUGAGCUAGAGGUGAUCGGAGUGAAGAUAGAUGAUAAAGAUAAGACACUUAGACUCAUCCUAUCAUUUUCCCCUUCUUACUAUGAAUUCAUGAAGCCAAUCUUGAUUUACAAAAAGGAAACUUUAGAUUUUGUUGAGCCUACUACUAAACUUUUGUCAGAGGAGGGAAGGCUAAAGAGUGAAAGGCGUUCUUCCCGGGAAGAUUCAGUACCAGUAGCUAGCAACUGGAAGAAGAAAGAGUUCAGGCAGAAAAAGGGUUGUCAGGAAUGUGGAUAGUCUAGACAAAUGAAAAAGGAUUGUCCUAAUAGAGUAGGUUUGUUAAAAGGCUCUAAAUUGGAUGCUAACGUCAUCUCCAUCAUGAGUAUGUGAUGUUAGCGAUUCCACAAGAUUGCACAUGGGCAUUGGCUUGGCACUUAUGCAAAGUGUGUGUUGAUAGCUAAAGAACUUCCAGGUGAGCUAUGUAGGUGGAAGUUGCACCAUAAAUUUCAGUAAGGUUAAUCAAUAUGUGAUGAAAAAGGAAAAAUCUUGGAGGGUGGUAUUUGAAGCGGUUUAGUGUAGUGAGUUAUAAUUUUAUGAAUUGAGAAUUAUGAUUGUCAAUUAAGACAAUGGUUGCAACAAAAGUUGUGGAUUCUUCAAAUAUCUUGCCAAUGUGGAAUUUGUUGGGUUUUGGCAAAAUAUUAGAAGAAUAGUUGUCCUAAAUCUGAGAGCUUUAAAGAAGUGAUGGGUUCUAAACGCUAUAAAAGGAGGCUUUGCCUCUAGUUUCUAAUCAUCUCAAUUUAAAGCACUUUAAACCUGAUAUACUAAUUCGGCUGUGUGCGUGGUAUAAUGUUUUGAAAGAGUGCUCUUGUAAUUGCAGUCAAGGAGAGAUUUAUAUGUGAUUAUAAUAAUUUUUCAUACACUGGAGUUUGUUUUUUCUUUUUUUCUCUUUUUUUUUUUUUUUGUCUGGUUUUUUUUCAGUUUGGAAUUUUUCCACGUUAAUUCUUGUGUUCCAAGAUUUAUCGCUUUCUUUUAAUUAAUUUGUUGUUUUUUUCUGUUUGUUUCUACCAUAGUAGUGAGAGGUUAUUUCCUCUAGUUCUCCUUGAUGGGAAACUUUUCGAAUUCGCCACCACAUUUACUGAGGAAAAGAAUUAGGGCCUAGGGGUCUAUAUCUUGUUACAUUUUUUCCCUACAGUGUGAUAGCUGUCCCAUUACCUAAUCAGUAGUGAGAGUUUUAACCACAAUGCUCUUGAAAUAGUUAUGUGAAACCUAGAACAGAAAACUAUCAAGUAUAGUCUUCGUUGUAUACUAUCACUAGCUAGAAGAGAUUCUCAAUGCAACGAAGCAAUAUGUGAGAGACCUAGUUAGGGAUAUACUAGGAUUAUUAGUAUGGUAUUAGUAAGAACACAAGGGUAAGUAGUUAGGAAGUUGGUUAGUGUAUUUGGUUAUAAAUAGUGGGAGGGAGAUUGAGGGAAGGUGGUGAGUGAUUUUGGGCGAGGGUUAGCAUACUCAAGAGUCAAGAGAAAAAGAUUCUAGUGUCUUAUACUUGAUCUUUUCUAUUUCAAUGUAUUUUAAUUCUUCAUUCCUGUUCGGUACCUAACACAGAAUCUCUUCUUAUAUUGAGGGUACGUACAAAACGAAAUUUCUCAGGUUUCAUAUCUGAAACCUCUGGAGAUCAAAAGCCAAAGGCAACAUUGUUGCUGGAUGCUUUGGAGCUCAGCAGGUUAACCAUGAAGACCGUGAAGCAAAACCUUUGGUGGGCUUUUGGAUAUAACAUCGUUGGGAUUCCAAUUGCAGCAGGCGUCUUGCUUCCUAUUACUGGGACUAUACUCACUCCUU